UACGUAGGUGGCAAGCGUUGUCCGGAUUUAUUGGGCGUAAAGCGAGCGCAGGCGGUUUCUUAAGUCUGAUGUGAAAGCCCCCGGCUCAACCGGGGAGGGUCAUUGGAAACUGGGAGACUUGAGUGCAGAAGAGGAGAGUGGAAUUCCAUGUGUAGCGGUGAAAUGCGUAGAUAUAUGGAGGAACACCAGUGGCGAAGGCGGCUCUCUNGGUCUGUAACUGACGCUGAGGCUCGAAAGCGUGGGGAGCAAACAGGAUUAGAUA
rnacentral:rRNA from 1 species